rnacentral:lncRNA from 1 species
GGAAAUUGGCAUUCCCCUGCAGUCAGCGCUUCUUCCUCCAGCCCCAGAUGUGUGACGGCAGAGCAGAGGGGCAAAAGGAUCGGACGGCACUGUGUGCUCUAGGCAGGGACAGCUGAGGGGCCAAUGCCCUGCCCCUCCCAGCCAGAGGAGGAUGCCCCCAUCUGUUCACUGCACCCUCCAGUGGGAAACGAGCAAAACAAGAGGCAAUGCAUUUGCAGUCACUACAGUAGGAAGAGGUAUUCGCUUUCCACCAAGGCAGACACACAACCGGCUGGAUGUGGAGAGAAGCGGAUCGGGGGAAGAAGACACAAGCGGCU